rnacentral:snRNA from 1 species
CUACUUACCUGGCAGGGGAGACACCAUGAUCAGGCAGGUGGUUUUCCGAGGGCGAGGCUCAUCCACUGCACUCUCAGUGUGCUGAAUAGUGUUGAACAGUGCUUGGUAGGCAUGGGCCAAGCCCCAGCAUGUUGCAGUUGAAUUGCCAGGGUGACAGCAUACUUCCAAAUAUUUUACUAGUUUUUCGGGAUUCUGCACU